UAGGGAAUAUUGCACAAUGGGCGAAAGCCUGAUGCAGCAACGCCGCGUGUGCGAAGAAGGCCUUCGGGUCGUAAAGCACUUUUCUGAGAGAUGAGAAAGGACAGUAUCUCAGGAAUAAGUCUCGGCUAACUACGUGCCAGCAGCCGCGGUAAAACGUAGGAGGCGAGCGUUAUCCGGAUUCACUGGGCGUAAAGCGCGUGCAGGCGGUUCGGUAAGUUGGGCGUGAAAUCUCCUGGCUCAACUAGGAGAGGUCGUUCAAUACUACCGGACCUGAGAGCGGUAGAGGAAGAUGGAAUUCCCGGUGUAGUGGUGAAAUGCGUAGAUAUCGGGAGGAACACCAGUGGCGAAGGCGAUCUUCUGGACCGUUUCUGACGCUCAGACGCGACAGCUAGGGUAGCAAACGGGAUUAGAGACCCCGGUAGUCCUAGCCGUAAACGAUGUGAACUUGGCGUCGGUGGGUUAAACUCCAUCGGUGCCGCAGCUAACGCGAUAAG
rnacentral:rRNA from 1 species